AGACACUUCCACCCUGUUAGCAAACACACCUGCAAUAUCUUUACCUUAAAUGAGCUAUAAAGUUGUCUGCCUCCCCUUCACUGUUUACUUUGUGCUCCUGUUUUCUGCACAUGCUGCAAUAUUUUGCUCCUUAAGAGAAGUGCUGAAAACCCUCUUCUGCCACUCUUUUCCAUGUGCCAUGAUUGCAUUGAGCAUCUCCAGGCAGCCACAGGGCAGCAGAGCAGUGGCACAAGUCAGCUGGUUUCAAACCUCUCCUGCAGAGCAGUUUGGAAGGGAUUUCUCUUGGCAUAGCAUGGGGAAGAAAGGAUCAAGUACUGCAAAUAAGCUGUCUUCACAGGAAGCUUAUACAGAUGUAAAUUAUCACAGCAGUGCCAUUUUCUCUGGAGCCUUCUCAGAUGGCAUAAUUCAUAGAUAACCCUCCAGUGAGAUUCCCUGAUGCAUCCCAGCUCCCAAACACUGAUGUGAGGUUGGGAAGUCAUGCUGAAUCACCUGCCUACAAGCAGGUUUAAGCAGAAGGGAAGAUUUUACUUUGGAAGCCAAAGGAGCAAUACCAAGAGGGUUAAGGGAAGUGACUGCAUUUUGGGUAGCAAAGUGCAGUUUCAGAUGUUCAGUUUUGAUGACAACAGACCAGAGAAUUAAGCAAUGCACUAUAAAGAUUUUUCUUAGCCUUUCUGAUACUGAAUUUCUCCAGAGGAAUUCAGUACCAGCCAGCUCUGAUCAAUAAGUAUGCUAUUGAUGGAAAGCAAGGGAAGGACUUAGAGAAUCAUUAAAGGUCAGCUGACUUGUCCCUAAAGCUCACAUGCUCAGCAUCUGAGGCAGUGAAAUGCACCCAGGAAAGAGGUUAGGUUUUGUAUGGCUGGCUGAAAUUUGUAUCUCCUAGCACUGAAGAAUAUUAAUUUCUAGGGGCUGGUCAUGAGGAAGCAAAUUAGUAACUUCCACUGUUCUUUGAUGCAAAACAAGUUAAGAUUGUUCUAUUUGAGUUCAAAUAAAAAACCCAGCCGAGAAAAACAUCACUCACAAAACUUGGAGCACUACAGUUUCAUCACCCAAAAUGUUGCUAUUGUAAAUUUGGUUCAGCUACAAAGAUUGCAUCUUUUAGUACAUUAUAAAUAAACUUUUCAGUAUACUGUUGCAAGAGUCAAGGCCGCAUGCUGUAAAAAAAUGCAAUUAGAAGAAAAGAAAGUGAGGAGAGGUGAGGCUCUCCAAGUGGAAUAUACAUGUUGUAACCCCGAGAUCACCUAGAGACACAGGGGCAAACUGCAGGUCCUGCUGGGCUCGGGACAUUUUGUCUGCUUUACUUCCUUCCAGGAAUGAUAGUGGGACUAUAUCCUGAGAUGGGAAAAGUAUCCACCUGUGAUAUAAAGAUUGUUAGUGAUGAAAACUAUCACAACCUUCAUUGAAUUGUUCCUCUGCUUGGGAAGCACCAUUGUUAGCAGCCUGAAAUAUAUGUCUGGAACAUACAAAAUUUAGGUUACCUAAAGUUGAAGCAAUUUUGCUUCUACCACAGAUUUCCUUGUUCAGCAAAGGUUUCUGCUUUCUGGUGGCUUUUACCUUUCCAGUUAUUUACUCUACAGCCAAGUUAUUAUGUGCCUUUCUAUUCUGUUUGACCUUUAGUACACCUAUUGAUUUAUUUUCUUUUAAACUUCCCAAGUCCAUGGUUUUAUUUUGUCAGCUGUAUAGCAAUGUUUUCCUGAAGCCUUGGUGUAUUUGUUAAAUGCUCUUCCUAAGUGAACUAGGCUAAUAAUCUCUCUAAGAUUACUUUGAGCAGAUAUAUUUUCCAUCCUUGAUCAGCAUUAACAGUACCAUGCACCUUCCAGUCUCUGUUAAUUGAAUUAAAUAUGAGCUUUUCCUUUGUUGUCCCAUACUGAACUCAGCCUGUCAGGUUCUGUUGUCUCAGCCACCUUGCCCAUACUUUUUAAUAAACUAACAAGGAACUGGCAUUUUCAAAGUUUUCUGGAAUUCUCUCCUGUCCAUGAAUUACUGAAAAAUGAACAUUACCUGCCAAAAAAGCUUUGCAGCCAGCUCUGUUAAAAUUUCUCAAUGCAAAUUACCCAGAACUUCUGAUUUAAGUAUGUCUAACUACAGUAGCUGUUGAUUAAUACCCUCUUUAGUUACAGUAGGGAUAGAAAGUAUAUUACCAUCAUCAUCUAACAAAUACUUCAUCCUUUCCUCCAAAUACAGA